CCGCGCCUACGGGACGCAGCAGUGAGGAAUAUUGGUCAAUGGGCUUACGCCUGAACCAGCCAAGUCGCGUGAGGGAAGACUGCCCUAUGGGUUGUAAACCUCUUUUGUCGGGGAGCAAGACCCGCCACGAGUGGCGGAGCGAGAGUACCCGAAGAAAAAGCAUCGGCUAACUCCGUGCCAGCAGCCGCGGUAAUACGGAGGAUGCGAGCGUUAUCCGGAUUUAUUGGGUUUAAAGGGUGCGCAGGCGGACCAUCAAGUCAGCGGUAAAAUCGUGGGGCCCAACCC
rnacentral:rRNA from 1 species